CAAGACUGGAGUGUCUCUUUAUGGAGUUUGUCAGAUUGGGCUUUGAUAGCCAGCUAUCACAUGGUGUCAGAGGUCUUGGCGAAUUUGAGGGUGCUCACCACAUCCAUAUUGAUCCAGCAGUGGCUCCUGUUAUUCAUGGAUGUCGGAAGGUGCCUUUUGCAAUAUUGGACAAGUUAAAGGAGACUUUGGGACAGAUGGAGAGUGCUGGAGUAAUAUCUAGAGUUAUGGGUCCUACAGAGUGGAACUGUUAAGGAGACUGGAUUCGGCUCCCACGCCACUGUGAAGAUAAUGAAUGAAACUAAUCGCCGUGAUGGUUAGAAGAAUUCCCCGCGCGUGAAAGCAGCGUAGAAACUCAAUCAUGCAACCGUCCCUUUUUAUCCUAGUCUCAAACAAGCGCAACUGAAAGCUGGCAGCAUACGUGGAGAGAAAGGCAGCAACUCACCUGACGGAAUAGCUACAUCCGUUCAGGAUUUAUGGUAAAACCCCCACGAGGGUUCUCCUAAAAUAAUCACGUCAAGGGUUAACAGAGAAGUUCUAGAAUGCGUGAUGGGAAUUGUAGGCGCUGGCGAUCCCGAGGAGCGCAAGCCAAUCACACGCUCUUCCUCUUUCUUCUUGUAAUGGCCGCUUCCUGGAAGGUACACUUGAAAUACACAUUCUUCUCUGAAUUUAGCCUUUUGUUCAGGAUCAUCUGAUCAGCAACAAUUGGGAACAUGGCUGCCACAAGGAAUGCUUUCCAGCUCUACUUGGUGUUUUUCUCACUCCUGAUUGGGCUGCCUGUUGUGGAAGCUUUGGA